UACAAUUUCCUUAUAUAAACCAUCCAAAACCCUAACCUCACUUCCUUCCAUUACUGCCCUAUCUUUUUUCUUCAAUAGAUUUUGCUCUAAGAAGUAGCAAAAAAAAAAAAAACUCUUUGAUUCAACAUGAGAGCUAAGUGGAAGAAGAAGCGUAUGAGGAGAUUGAAGAGGAAGCGCCGAAAGAUGAGACAGAGAUCCAAGUAGAAUGUAUUUCGGAGUUCGUAAUGGUUUAAGUUUUAAGUUUAAAUUUCAGUAACAUUGAAUAGAGGUUUUGACCUAAAUGGCAUCGAAUUCUGAUUCUGAUAUCCCUUUUUAAAAAAAAAUAGAUUUGUGUUUUCUUAUUA